AGCCUUUUGUACCCGUGCUGAGAUUUCGUCAGCUAUCAACCAGAUGAUGGGGCUGAUGCAACUUCACAAAUAAGUGAGGUG
rnacentral:pre_miRNA from 1 species